CUACUCAGACAGGUGUGCAAUUUAAAAUAUAUGAAUUUUUUAUUUCUGAAAAAUUCCAUUUAAUAUUUUCAGAAUGUGUUGACCGUGGGUGACAAACUGUGGAAAGAAAAACCACAGGUGCUUUAGCUGGUUUAAUUUCCUCAAGUUCACUUUUUUAUUUUAUGAUGUGGACAAAGCCAGAGAAAUUUUAUAAAGAAAAACCCUGAAUCAUUAGGAAAGACGACCAUGUCUAAACAUCAUGAAGGGCUUCAGAUUGUGCCAAUGCCAGUUCUGAGAAGGACACUACUUUGGAGGUAAACCAACAUACAGAUACAAACAAGGAUCCAGCUGCACAAGAAUGGUUACAAAUAUGAAGAUUGGCCUUGUGACCACUGUAAAGGCAGAAACACCUGCCCUGAACAAAGGGAUGGUUGAUCUCAUCUCGAUGCUCGUUGCUCCCAGCCUGAGAAGUAUUUUAUUUGUGUGAUGGAUGGACCUGGGGACUGUGAUGCCAUCUGCCCGAAGGACAGUGCUUCCAGGAUGGGAUAGGGACAAAGAGUCUGUAUUAUCCUGUAAGACUCUCAUAAAAUGCUUUGAGAGGUCAAUCCUGUGAAACAACUUCAAACUCAGAAAAGAUUAACUUUUCAGAUUAUAAAUAUCUGGCUCUUUCUUUCAUGUUUAUCAGAAUCUUUUCUAAGAUACUGGCGAUAC